rnacentral:rRNA from 1 species
GUCUAUGGCCAUGCUACCCUGAACAUGCCCGAUCUCAUCCAAUCUCGGAAGCUAAGCAGGAUUGGGCCUGGUUAGUACUUGGAUAAGAGAGCACCUAGGAAUAUCAGGUGCUGUAGGUG